CGAGCAGGGCGCUCCCCGCGCUCCAGAAACCAGCCCGGAAGACGAGGGCGGAUCGCUGGCGGCCCGCAGGCACUCGAAGGAUCCAGGCAAUAGUGAGCCACAGAAGAUUUCUGCACAGAAUCCCUGAUGGGGAGCUAUUGGGGCCAUGCAUUCAGGAGGGGAAUCUGGCCACAACAUGGGCUGGACAGACAGUGGAGGGAGUGAGAGCGAGGAGAGGGGCUGUCAUGCAAGCCAGUGAGAAAAGGAUCGAAUGGAGGAGGGAGAGGGAGUUGCCAACAGUGUGUGGUGCUGUGGAAAGCAAGUGGGGAUCCGAGGGGGUCUCUGGAAACAGUGACCUUGGAGGGCAUGGUGCUGGUGGCCUCGCAGGGACAGAACCCAGAUCAAAGGGAGAGGAGGAGCACAUGGAGCAGAGAUGGCUGCAGAGCCUCCUAUUGCCAUGGCUGCCAUUGCUCUUGGGAAUGAUCUGCGAACACAGCUGCACCCCAUCUCCAGGGACAUAUGGAAGCCAAGAGAUGGAAGGGAAGAGCAGAGAUCUCUGGCCAGUUCAAACGCAGCAGAGAAAAUACGUGCAACAUAUUCUUGGGAGGAGACGAGGCUGGGAGUGUGUGGAACUGUGGAUCUUUGCCUUGUCAGGUGUCCGCCCUUUCCAGGAAGGAUCUGAUGAAAGCUCUGUCACUCUGCCCUGAAACCUGCACAAAUACACAAGGCUCAUGUUUGCAUGACCACCUGCUGAGGCCCAGCUGGGGCCCUGAGCCAAGAGCCCCGCUGUAUGAAGGCUUCUUUGGAGAGGAGGCAGCCCUGAGCCCAGGCUCUCCGUGAUCUGGGCUAAUGAGGGACAGUGGUGACAUGGAGAAUCUCAAAUGAGGAAAGGCUAAAUCAGUUUCUAUACAGUGAAGUGGAAAGAACAAGUCAUAUAUAUAUAUAUAUAUAUUCUGCUUACAAUCCUGUAGAAAUAUCCACCUAUAAAGCGAGAAAUGGGAAGGCAACAUGGAGAAAUGAAAAUAAUUUGUGGGUAAA